GAUGAACGCUAGCGGCAGGCCUAAUACAUGCAAGACGAACGGUAAGUUGAGUAGCAAUACUUAGCCAAGAGUGUCGUACGGGUGCGUAACACGUAUGCAACCUACCCUAUACAGGAGGAUAGCCUAGGGAAACCUGGAUUAACCCUUCAUAGUAUUAUUGGAUGGCAUCAUUUGAUAAUUAAAACUGAGGUGGUAUAGGAUGGGCAUGCGUCUGAUUAGUUAGUUGGCGGGGUAAUGGCCCACCAAGACGAUGAUCAGUAGGGGGUUCUGAGAGGAAGAUCCCCACACUGGCACUGAGAUACGGGCCAAGACUCCUACGGGAGGCAGCAGUAGGGAAUAUUGGUCAAUGGAUGCAAGUCUGAACCAGCCAUGCCGCGUGCAGGAAGAAA
rnacentral:rRNA from 1 species